rnacentral:rRNA from 1 species
AGAGUUUGAUCCUGGCUCAGGAUCAACGCUGGCGGCGUGCAUGAGACAUGCAAGUCAUACGGACGAUCAAAGCUUGCUUUGUUCGUUAGUGGCGGACGGCUGAGUAACGCGUGGGUGACCUGCCCCGAAGUGGGGAAUAACUGCCCGAAAGGGUGGCUAAUACCGCAUGUGGUGGUGUAUUCGAUUACACCAGUAAAGCCGCAAGGCGCUUCGGGAGGGGCCUGCGUCCGAUUAGCUCGUUGGCGAGGUAACGGCUCACCAAGGCGACGAUCGGUAGGUGGUCUGAGAGGACGAUCACCCAGACUGGGACUGAGACACGGCCCAGACUCCUACGGGAGGCAGCAGUCGGGAAUUUUUCACAAUGGGCGCAAGCCUGAUGGAGCGACGCCGCGUGGGGGAUGAAUGGCUUCGGCCCGUAAACCCCUGUCAUUUGCGAACAAGUUGGUUCAAUUAACACCUGAACCAUUGAUAGUAGCGAAAGAGGAAGGGACGGCUAACUCUGUGCCAGCAGCCGCGGUAAUAC